UACGAAGGUGGCAAGCGUUGUUCGGAUUUACUGGGCGUACAGGGAGCGUAGGCGGUUGGGUAAGCCCUCCGUGAAAUCUCCGGGCCUAACCCGGAAAGUGCGGAGGGGACUGCUCGGCUAGAGGAUGGGAGAGGAGCGCGGGAAUUCCCGGUGUAGCGGUGAAAUGCGUAGAGAUCGGGAGGAAGGCCGGUGGCGAAGGCGGCGCUCUGGAACGUACCUGACGCUGAGACACGAAAGCGUGGGGAGCAAACAGG
rnacentral:rRNA from 1 species